GGGUGUGGAGGGAGGGAAUGGAUGGGUAUGUGCCAGGCACUGCACUAAGCAUUCAUGCCCUACAAGCCAUCUUAGGAGAUGGGUUACCAUCCCAUUUUUCAGAGGAGGUGGUCAAGGUUCACAGAAGCAAUCAACAUGUCCACAGCUGGCAAGGUGGCCAACAGGAAUUAGCAAGGAAAGCCAGACAAGCAGCCAAGGCAGAUGGAGAGCAUAUUCCAAAGUGUGGAGGUGUGACCUGAAAGGAACCUUGGCUGGCUGGGGAGACAAUCGGGACAAUCAGGAGACAUGCCAAAGCCAGACUGGGGAACUGGAACCUGAGGCCACCGAGGAACCACAGGAGACUCCAAGCUAGGAGUGACCGGUUACACACAGGCAUUAGAAAGCUCUCUGUGGAGGCAGGCAGGGAAUAUUUCCUGCUGCCUCCAGCACCAAGCCUCCAAUGGCUGGGCUUUGGCACAGCCAGAGUGAGACAUCACAGUCCCCCCCUCCCUGAGUCCAAGGCCCAGCAGUCCUGUUCCUGAGGCCUCUCUCCCACUGUGGCAGACCCACCUCCACACAAGCACCCAUCUCACUGGAGGCAAUGGUCUGUUUGAAGCCUGGGAGACAGCACUGGGACCCAUCUACUGCUGUACCCUCAAUGCCAGCAUAAAACCUGGAGAUCCUCAAUAUGUGACAGAAGGAAGGAUGGGAAGGAGAGAAGGAAAAUCAGCCCACCCUAGCUGUUAAUUAAAGAAU
rnacentral:lncRNA from 10 species